ACCACUGCUAAUCUAUGCCACUGCCAAUCUAUCUAUUGCUGCUAAUCUAUCACUGCUGCCAAUCUACCUACCACUGCCAACCUAUCUAUUGCUGCCAAUCUACCUAUCACUGCUAAUCUAUCGCUGCUAAUCUAUCACUGCUAAUCUAUUGCUGCUAAUCUAUCUAUCACUGCUAAUCUAUCGCUGCCAAUCUAUCUACCGCUGCCAAUCUAUCUACCACUGCCAAUCUAUCUACCACUGCCAAUCUAUCUACCGCUGCCAACCUAUCUACCACUGCUAAUCUAUCACUGCUAAUCUAUCGCUGCUAAUCUAUUGCUGCUAAUCUAUUGCUGCUAAUCUAUUGCUGCUAAUCUAUCUAUCACUGCUAAUCUAUCGCUGCCAACCUACCUACUGCUGCCAAUCUACCUACCGCUGCCAACCUAUCUACCGCUGCCAACCUAUCUACUGCUGCCAACCUACCUACCACUGCUAAUCUAUCACUGCUAAUCUAUCGCUGCCAAUCUAUAUAGGGUAAAUCAUGGUCCCAUUUGGUCCCAUUUUGUAAAAUGGGAUCAAAUGAAACUGAGAUCACUAAUUUAUUAAUAAAACAUGAUCUGAGACUAGAUUUAUAAUAUAAACAGUGUAAAAUAACUAAUUUACUAAACACUAUAUGAGAUCAGAACUAAGAUAUCUAAUAAUGGAACUGAGGAAAAAUUUGGUCUCAGUUCCAUGCAUGAUCACACAGCCA
rnacentral:sRNA from 2 species